rnacentral:rRNA from 1 species
GACGAACGCUGGCGGCGUGCUUAACACAUGCAAGUCGAACGGAAAGGCCCUGCUUUUGUGGGGUGCUCGAGUGGCGAACGGGUGAGUAACACGUGAGUAACCUGCCCCUGACCUAGGGAUAACUUCAGGAAACUGGGUCUAAUACCGCCUAGGAGUUCCUGCCGUAUGGUGGGGGUUGGUAGGUUUCGGCGGUUGGGGAUGGACUCGCGGCGUAUCAGCUUGUUGGUGGGGUAGUGGCUUACCAAGGCUUUGACGGGUAGCCGGCCUGAGAGGGUGACCGGCCACAUUGGGACUGAGAUACGGCCCAGACUCCUACGGGAGGCAGCAGUGGGGAAUAGUGCACUAUGGGCGGAAGCCUGAUGCAGCAACGCCGCGUGCGGGAUGACGGCCUUCGGGUUGUAAACCACUUUCGCCUGUGACGAAGCGUGAGUGACGGUAAUGGGUAAAGAAGCACCGGCUAACUACGUG